UCAGGGCUUUGUCUGGCACCGUAUAUAUUCUUCUGCUUCACGGGGACGGGGUCUUUUGCCUCUCUACAACCUCAAGUGUAAGUGCUCCAAUAAAGUGUGUUCUGAGAAGAAUCCUGUUGCGGUCGUCUCUUCUGCUGGCGGGAGCGGCGUGCUGCACUGUAUGGAAACCUAAUUCCUUCCUCUCUACUGAAAGUCAGGAGUUCCAAGGCUAAGGCGUGUCUGGUCUGGUCCCAUGUCUUCCUCUUCUUCUGGAGUCUGCUCGCAGGUCUCAUCGUACAGGGAGUUGCUGACGGCACGGUGGUGGGUGGAGACCUGUGUGCGGGAGAUGGACUCACCAGCUCUAAGCCUCACUCCAGGAAGACCUUUCUCUUUGAACAGUAUUCAAUGGGAUGCAAGGAGCCCUUAAUACAUUGUUUUUCUUUUUGAAACUGAAAAUAAUGUUUCUGGCUGAGUGAGGUGUCCCACAUCUGCAGUUGGAAGGCUGAGGCUGGAGAAUUGCUGCACGUUGGAGAUCAGCUUGAGCAGUUAUCAAGACUUCACUUGUUUCAGAAAGCACUUACUGUUUACAUACUUUGGAAUAUUAAAUAUGGUUAUGGAGAAUACCAUUAUUGGUUAGCUGUUUUGUUUUGAUUCAGUUGUGUAGCCCCUAUAUAGUCUGUGUUGUAUAGAUGUGUCAUCAGAGUUGAAGCAUUUUCUUAAAUGGUGUAAAGAGGCUCUUAAAAUAUAGAAAGUAAGUCGAGCAGUGGUGUUGCUCGCUUUUAAUUUUCGCACUUAGGAGGUAGA